UUGGGCUUUAGUGCUGUGGUGGUAAGGUGUGGGGAGGGGAAACAAGGUAUAGUCCUGUGAGUAGGUCUCAGUAUGUGGCAAGCCUGUGCUUCUGGACUGUAAACUUCAUCAAGUACUUCUCAAUUUUUUAUCCCCCUUUAGGUGGCACAGGAUGGCUGGAGUGGGCUAGAGUUGGAUAUUCCCCUCACUCAAGGUAGUUAGACUCCAAGAAAACCCUGGCAGGCUAGGCUCUGGUUAACUAGUUUCUUCUGAAGGCAGGCCUUCUUCUUCCUGUUAAGAAGAGAAUGCUCUGGUGUAUUCAAAAUAGUUCCUUUUCCCCUCCCCUUGCUGGAAGCAGGAUCCUGUUUGAUCUCUAGGAGGCAAAACUCACAAAAGUGUGCCCUUUUCCCCCCGUGCCUGGUGACUGGGUCUAGCCAGAGUUUUUACCUCCAGACUUGUCCACAAUGAACCCCCGGCACUUCGUCAGUUACAGUUCAGAUGUUUCUACCCUGGCACUGGUUCCAUGGGGAUUGCUCCUCCAUGGAUUACUGCUCUGUUCACUCAGCUUUUGACUUGUAAGAGUGUUGCAAAGACUUCUUCGCUCCUUAUGUGCUGGACCAGAAACCAGAAGUUCACCAGUAUCCUUUGAGUAAAAUUUUUCAAAUAGUUUCAAAGCCACCUUCUAUACUUGUAUUUAAAUCAUAUUUCUGCCAUGUGCCUCAAAGAUAUUGUUGCUGUUAAUUCAGCAUAGAUUUUUUUUAUGCUAAUACCUAUUUUGUUGGAGAUUGUGCACUGAAAGACAGAUAUUGAUAUCUAUUUGACAACAGAUAUAUAAAUGUUUGCCACCCGAUAUCCAUUCUCUUUCUUCUGAUAACACACACUGACCUGUUUUCCUCUAGAGAACCAACUCCUGCCCCAGUCUCAACACACCUGAUUCUCAGUUGGAGCUGCCGGCUGCAGCAGGGGACCCCACCUGGCCAGCAUUGUCAUCCUUUGGUCAUGCUGGAUGUUCAAGGAUGCUCCUGUGAUCAAUCCCGUUGAGACUGCAAAGGCUGGGUCCAUCUUGAACCAUAUGAAAAUAAAAUAUGCCUUUUAUUUUUCCUACUAGACUUGAAUCUUGUAAAAAUUAAGGCUUUGCCUGCUAGGGUCACUGUAAGUUGUAGGUAUGUUCUACCUGAAAGGGAGACACCACAGAAGAAAACUGAAGCAAGAAAAGAAGACAAAUCAACUCCCGAUAAUGUGAUGUGAGGUGUGAGGUCCUUGCAGGCUCAAAGAAGUUUCUAACUGGUUCUCUUUGUAAUCACCAGAGCCAAUUCACAUCUUUUUUUUUCCCCCAAGCUUAUUUGAAUUGAAGUCUUCUGUCACUUGGAAUUUCAGAAGCCCUGACAAAUAAAAUGGUUCAUUAAUUGAAUCGGCUAUAUCACAAUUCAAAUGGUGGCCUGACAACAUAUCUGCAGAUAUCAAAAUUCUACCAUAAUAAUUAGACUAUAAAUGGUGUUUAGUCCUAUUUUCAGUAUUCUCAAAAGUGCUGUCUUAGAAAUUAAGCCACCGCUUUUUCUGCACAAGAAUUCCUUUCAUGCCAUCCCAGCAAAUCUGCCUCUAUGCGCUCAGAUGCAGAACUGGUUCUGAAUUGUGCAAAGAGCCACUAUUGCCAGCUCUGCUCCAUUUUUUUUCUGGCAGCCCCAGCGUCCAAUCAAGAUUUCUGGAUCUUUUCCAAUUAUAACACCAUUUGGAAAUACUCAGCAUUUUCCAGCCUUGAAUAAUGUAUUGAUCUCUUUAAAGUAGAAAAUAUUCUCACAGACCCCCAAUGUUGACUUCAAUUCUUUUUAUUGUAAUUUUACUUAAAUAUAUAUGCAAACAUAAAACACUACAAACUGUUAGGCUUAUAGCUUUUAGACAACUAUAAAAAUAAACUUACAGAACAGAUAUAAUAUAAACUACAAAACCAAUGAAAUGGAAACGAGCUACAUUAGCUUACCAGGACAGAGCAGAGAGUAUUCCCGAAGCUCCAUGCCUGCUCAGCUUGGGAGGCCAAUGUUUCUAAUUACUCUUGAGUUCUGAGCUCAGCAUUGUCAGAGGAUUCCUGCCUAGCGGGGCCAGGAUUCUCCAACAUUUUUCUGUAUUUAGAUUAUUUCAAUGCUUCAUUAGCAUGGCUUCCCAUAAAGUCACUGGCCUCUACUUAACAUAACUGUAGCUGUUAUUUAUGAAGACUCUCUGCUGUGUCUUAUUGAAUCUGUGACUAUUAAAAUUGUACCAAAAGCAGUAUCAGCAUAAUAAUAAACAUUUGAACUGUGAGAAACAAAAUCACAUGAUGGCCCUCAGCAAGGUGAUCAUCUAAAGAUCUAAAAGAUGCUUAUGUAAUUUUAAACCAACUUUAUUGAGGAAUAGUUUACAUACAAUAAAAUGUACAGACUUUAUAUGCUUGGAUGAAUUUUGACAAAUAUAUACAUUUGUAACAAACACACCAAUCAAAAUAUACAUUGUUACCCCUCAGUAACUUUCCUGUUGUCGAUUUCAGUCAAUAUCCUAUCUGACUGCCAUGAAAGUUGUCAGAAUCAAAAUGGAGUCACUAAUGUUAAGAAACCACUGACAAAUAGAGCUGGGAAAGGCUAUGAAUAGAGACUUCUCAUGCUUGUAUGCCUGAUAACAAAAAAGGCUACAAAAACCAAAACUUUGCACAAAGGCUAUCACAACCCUACACAAAAAAUCUUCCAGGACAUCUGUCCAGCAACUGCCUGUCCAGCCUCUGGCUGGUGUCACCCUUGCUAUUGAUCUUUGUAGUCAAAGAUAAUUAUUUAAAAGCAAUUAUGAAAUUCUUCUCAUUUUCCCUUUAAAAUCCUUAGUUUUCCCUUACCUCCCUGAAUACACACAUAGUUUAGUAUGACAUGUCUACUCCCACUGCAAUGCCCUAUUCCUGGAUAAAUAUCUUUUCUUUUAGAGAGCCUGACUCUGCUUGUUUUUUAGGUUGAUACUGCCAAACCAACCCUUCACACACCCAAUAUCAGAAAAUCACUUCCAUUUUGCUCAAGGACUUCCUAUACAUGGAAUCACAUAGCAUCAUAUAGUCUCUUUUGUGUCGUCUUUCACUCAAUACUAUGUUUUUGAGAUCUAUUCAUGUGAUUAUGUACAUUAGGAAACUGUUCAUUUUUCUUGCUAAGUAGUGUCACAUUGUAUGGCUCUUCAAAAGUUUGUUUCUCCAUUCACCUGUUAAUGACAUUUGGGUUGUUUUUGGGCUUUGGUUAUUGGGAAUAAACUGAUAUGUCUUCCUGUGGGUUUAUGCUCUCUGAGAAGUGUAAUUGCUGUAUGUAUGGUAUAUAUAUAUAACCCUAUAAGAAAUUACUGAAUUACUUUCCAAAAUGUCUGGCCAUGUGCUGUACUUCUACCAGCAGUAUUUGAGAAUUCCCAUUGUUCUACUUCCUUGCCAAUAUUGAUGUUAUUAAUCUUUUUGAAUUUUAGCCAACCUAGUACAUGUGAAGUAGCAUCUCAGCUUACUUUUAAUUUGCCUUUGCCUUCUAACUAGCCAAUGUCAGACACUUUUUCAUGUGCUUUUGGCCUUUUGUAUAUAUUAUGUUGUAAGGAGUCUAUUUAUAAUUGCCUGUUUUUGAAUAAAAACAAAUUGAUUAUUUGUCUUUUUUCUUGAGUUUCUGGAGUUUAUGCAUUUUUUGGAGAGACAUCCUUAGAUAUAAAAAUUAUAAAUAUUUUCCCCCAUUUUCAUUGUUUUUAAUUUUUAUUUUGCUUAUUUCUUUAAUUAUUUAUUUAUUUAGUUUGAGACAGAGUCUCGCUCUGUCAUACAGUCUGAAGUACAGUGGUACAAUCUCGGCUCAUUGCAACUCCAUUUCCCAGGCUCAAGUGAUUCUCCUGCCUCAGCCUCCCGAGUAGCUGGGAUUACACG
rnacentral:lncRNA from 10 species